rnacentral:rRNA from 4 species
UGCGACCCCAGGUCAGGCGGGACUACCCGCUGAGUUUAA